CACGGAUUCUAAGACAAACUACUCCUGAACUUCUGAAUAUUGCACUAUAGAUACUGGAUACAGAUAACUUGGUGUAGGUCUCGUCAAAUAAAUGAUCAAAUCAACCAAUAAGACAUUUUAGAAUCAACAGAAUUUAUAUUUCACAAUAAAGGAUCAUAAUUCUCAAAGAACACAUAUGAUGAGUCUAUGCCAGGGUAUAGCAACAGCGCUCCUUCUAAUGGUGGUCAUUACAAUGAAUCCUACAACCGCAACCGUUACAGCCGUCAAUGAUGCAUCAACAACAACUGAUGAACCCAUUAAAAACGUAACUGAUGCAUUGACUACAACUGGUGAACCCACUACAACUGUCAUUGAUGCAUCGCUAGUAACUGGUGAACCCACAACAACCAUCAACGGUGCAUCACCAACUACUGUUAAAGCCACAGCCACUACAACCAUCACCGAGUUAUCAAAAACAACUGGUGAACCAAAUAAAAUGGUCAUUGAUGCAAUGACAAAACUGGUGAACCGCCACAGCCGUCACCGAUUCAACGACAACAACUGGUGAACAUGCUAAAACCACCACUGAGUCAACAAAAACAACUGGUGAACAUACUAAAACCACCACUGAUUCAACGACAACUGGUGAACCCACUAAAACCACUGAGUCAACGACAACAACUGGUGAACCCACUAAAACCACCACUGAGUCA